GUAUUUUGACCUCAUAUCAACUUUUUUAAAUAGAAAUUUGAGCUGUAACUACUGAAACAACUUCACCCGGCCUGUUAAUUACUGCCGACCUCCAUGCUAAAUUGUUGACAAGCUCCUCUGAUGACGUCAUGCCUCAGGCAGGGUACUCAAAAUGUUUUCAGCGAGGUGAACUCUGGCUGAUACUGGUGGAGACGGAGAAUAGCACGGGCAGAGUAAACACUGUCUAGGAACAGCUGACCGACUGGGUGUCCUUUACUGCACGCUCACCAAGACACUUACCUACUUUAACCAUCCUCUACUUUCCUAGCCCCACUGCAGGUGUACUGAAACAUCUGCGGACGUACAGUUGGCCAGAUGUACCAGGGUGACAUUGUUGCACAACAGCACACGGCAAUGGAUUCAAGGAGCAAGAUUUCUGUGUGGGGUGACUCGAAGGUGGUGUUCUCAUGUCCCCCGGCUGUGAGCUGUCUGGUGCUCACCUCACCCGGCGCCAACAUCUGAACUCUCUGCCGUCGCUAAUACAGUCCUAGGUGGUGGGUGAAGCGACCAGUAACAACAAGACCACCAUUGCUGCACACAACCAUCGCAAAAGCAGUUAAUACACGUUCACUCACCUUGAAGGUUCAUUGUUUUAAUAAGUAAUAUUAGCACUAUAAUGCCAAUAUUGUUAUUAUUAUUGAAACUGUAUCUGUAUUUUUUCUGGUAAGAUAAACAGUUUCAGUAUCCAUAUGUAAUUAGGAAGGAACUUGCUGAUGAAUUUGACGCAAGCAGGCAAGUGCAAACAGGCACUAGUUAAUCAAUUGUUUACCAAUAUGGGAUGUAUCGAGUGAAACAUGUAUAUGGAACAAGUAACACAAUCACUAGAUUGCAAGAUGAUGAUGUAACCGCUAGGCUAAGGUUGGGAUAGUCCCUCUGGCAGUAUGUCCUUCAAGCAGAUGUGAACAAAACUAAAUGUAAAAAAGUGUGGCCAGACAUAUGGCCACACUCCAACACUACGUCCUCGACUGUGUGAAGAUAGAACCUUUUUGGGACAGGUUCAUCAAGCACACUGUGUGAAAUGACACAACACUUUAUCUCUAGUGGCAAGGCAACCGACUUACUGUAUUAAGGUCGUUACCACUUAGUUGCUAUAUCAGUUCCUAUGUAUAGAACCAAAACCAUAAUGUGCUUAUAAACUUAUCUUAAAAUAAA